UAUCCUAUCCAGUCAUGCUUUGUUUACUAGUUGAAAUUUUAAUAGGUAGGAGUGACUGAAAUUUUUGUCACAAAGCCUUUGUGGAGUUCUUACUUGCUACGUUGGCACCAUGUAUUUGCAGUACCUUAGCAGCCUCUGUAACCAUGCCAUUGGACUUCAGUAUGGCGGUAUGGCUAUGUUUUUGUACAAUUAGAGGACCAUAAAGCACGUUUGGAGAAGUUACUCACAUUUUCAUUUUCAUUUUUAGUCCUCGGUUUGUUCCUUGUCAUGAUAGGUAGAUGUUUAUAAUUACAGGCGCUUCGCUUUUGUUCUCGAGUGGAUGGGAAAGCAUUCUCCAGGUAUUUUUGUUCUAAUAACUUCCAACUUAAGCUGUUAUUGCAAUUCAAGAAUUCUACUGGACUGCUCCGAGAAUAACAUUGUUAGUGUUUGAGGCUACUAAUUUUUGACCCAGAACACAGAGUCACUCGUCCUCUUUCGAUCAUAAAAAUUGCCAAGCUGUACCGAGGUGAAAUUCCAAACAAUAAUGCCAGUCUACUCUUGCUGCACUUUUGUUCAAAAGAUCCAUUAAAUCAUUACGUGCUUUGUGCACACAUGAUAUGGUAGGUCAGACUUGCAAAGGUGCGAGACACUGACAGGCUGCCACACUGGCGAGCUACGGGUGCACAAUCCCACAUCGCCUGGGAAAGGAAAAGGUGAAGUGCUUAUAUGUAGGUGUGUCACUAUAAUUGGUAUGAGGCCUUUUGGGUUGAAGCACAAGAGCAAAACCGUGCGUGUUCAGGCCCAAAGCGGAUAAUAUCAUAGCAUGUGGUGGAGUGGGUCAUUACAAAUGGUAUCAGGGCCUGACCCAGCCAGAAGUGUGGUAAAGUGCUUAUAUGUAGGUAUGUCACUCCAAUUGGUAUGAGGCAUUUUGGGUAAAGCCCAAGAGCAAAACCAUGCGGGCUCAGGCCUAAAGCGGACAAUAUCAUACCAUGUGGUGGAUUUUAUUCCUGUUUUUCGCUUUAUGUUGUCAAUUUAAUAACAUCAAUGUGCUAUACAUUGAAGGAAACACCCUUAGGUCCUAAAGCAUUUAUCUUAUUAUUGUGUGUUCUCCUUUCAAACAACAAACUCAAGCUCUCACAGUAUGUUGAUUCAAUAAAAUUAUAAAACUAAUUAAUAUGAUCAGAGUUCAUACAAUAUUCACACGUGUUUCUUUUAGUCAUAAUAUAUGUAACCCGGAUGUCUAAAAUCAUCAUUUUGUUCAACUUCUCUCCGUGGUCAAAUCAUAAAUCACUUGAUUCAGCCACUAGGGCUUGCAUCCAUGACACACAAAUCCUAAAUUGCUACAUCUAUUUCAUUAUAUUCUCUCUUGAUUUUGUUUACAAUUACCACCUUUAUUUAUAGGUGAAUUGGGGAAGACUUGUAAUAAAGGAAUUACACAGAAAGUUAAAUAUAAACAUGGAAAGAACUUGUUGCCCAAGUAUAGCAACAUUAACAUUCUGUCAAUGGCUUAAAUCACUCAUAUAAUUAUUCUCCAACACCCCCUUAAGUUAGUACACGGAGAUUUAACUCAAGUGUCCAACUUGAAAUUAAAUAUGAAGUUGUCGAAAUUCUGAAAUGAGUAAAUCUGCGAUGAGUUGAUCCGGAGGUCCGAGACAAAUUGAUCCGAAGAUCCGAGACGAGUUGAUCCAAGAUCCGUGACGAGUAGAGUAUAAAGUAGGGUAUGAUAAACCUACUCUGAUACCAUGUUGAAAUUGAAGAGAGAUAUACAAAAUGAAGAACACAAAGAUAUAACGUUGUUCAACCACUAGAGCUUACAUCCACGACACACAAAUCCCAAAUGGCUACAUCUCUUUCAUUACAUUCUCUCUCGAUUUUGUUUACAAUAACCACCUCUAUUUAUAGGUGAAUUGGGGAAGAUUUGUAAUAAAGGAAUUACACAAAAAGUCAAGUAUAAAUAUGGAAACAGCUUGUUACCCAAGUAUAGCAACAUUAACAUUCUUAAAUCACUCCUAUAAUUAUUCUCCAACAACUUGGCUAUUAGGAAUGACUCCAAUCCUGAGGAAGAAGAGGAGGUCCGUAGAGAAAAUGCAUGGGUGUGCCAGUGAAACAUGAAGCAAUCUAUGCAAUGUCAAUACCAUGAUAGGAUUGCUAUAUUAUAACAUAUUCUAUGCAGAUUUGUUUACAUUGAUAAAAUACAUGGUUUCUUUUUGCUUUGUGAGAACCUCUAACUUCCUUUCCAGCAAAUUUUAACCUUCGUUAUUGGCAUGUUACGACAUUGGCUCUGUGGUUGCAAGGUUUUUAUACUAAUGCUUUUUUUCUCUAUGGUAGUAGUCUUGUUGUUCUUCUCUCAAAAAAGAAAUAUAGUGCUGGAAAGCUGAGCACUGGGGUUUGGGAAUUAUUGUAGAGAACCACCAAAAAUGCCAUGGCCUCAGUCGGGAAGGGUUGGAGCUGAUUUCCAAUCACCCGGGAGUUACAAGUGGUAGGAUCUGAACCAGCAAUUUAUGAAACUCAUAGUAUCUAUUUGAGCUUUGAGCCAAACAUUCAAGUACCCAAAAUCACACAGAAGAGUGGACCAACAUUCAAUUGUUGUAGUUCGCCGUGCCUAUGCAACCAUUUCACCAAAGGGUAUGUUUGGCAGCACCGAAUUGGAGCUUGGAAUUGGUGGUAUUGGAAGCUCCAAAAUCUGCUGUUUGGAUGUUACACACUAAGACCGAUUUGGAAUCGGGUUAUAAUCCCAAAUAUCUCAAUUACAUUAUUUGAAUCCCAUGGGUUGAGUUGAGAAUCGGAACACCAAAUCAACGUGGGAUUGAUUCACCAGAUCGAAACGUCCGGCUCUGGCUUCUAUCGCUCCAUCUACCAACCUAGCUCUAGAUUGUUCAUCUCUAACCCUAUCUCUUCCAUCCCAAUCUGUCUUCAAAAGCAAACUCCAGAUUGUUCUGUCUCUAUACACUUGAUCUGCCUUCAAAAUCUAACUCCAAAUUGUUCAUCUCGAAUGAUCUGCCUUCAAAACCUAACUCCAAAUUGUUCAUCUCGAACCCAGUUCAUCAAUCAUAUGUUUCGAUCCCUAGCUCAAGAUCAACACACAAAUCGUGCAGUUGAAGAUAAAGAUCGCCAUUAGUAGUAAAGUAUAUGUAACAGUUCAUUUCCUCCAAUGGCCUCAGAGCAAAUCCAAUGCAGAGUUCCAGCAAAUUUUUAGACUGUCUUUUUCUCAAGAUGAACAAACGGAUACCAAGUAAUAUAGAGAACCAAAUUCACGAAAAAUCUCUCUAUCGCAACUUUUCUCUUCAGUUACACUUAAGCGGUCGAGGUCUUCAUUCGUCAUAUAAAAUACACCAAAACUGUUCUAGUGGCUUUGUGAUUGAGGUUAGUAUCUAGUGAUCUAUCAUUUUUCAUGGUGAAAGAUUGAACAAAAUUAUGAUUGAUUUAUUGGCUUUGUGAUUGAGGCUAGUACCAUUUUUAUGUUGUGGUUAUCUGAGCUUUUUAGAGAUAUUGUUACUGGGUGAAGCUGGAGAUUGAUGUGGGACUUGUUUUGCAGCAAUCAUGGUUUAUGCUUUAGAGACCAUGUAGAAAGAGUAUUCCUAUAUAAUUCUUCUCUCAUCUAGUUCCAAUUAUGUUUACUCUUGUAUGUGAUGUUCUGUUUGUUUGCAUACACUUUACCAUUAAUUGCAGUGCACUUUGCACUUCCUUGAAUAAAUGUUGCUAUGUCACCACCAGUUGUGUUCUUAUUAGUUUGCGAAUUGCAAAAGUUGGACAAAAGAAAUUCAAUAAACCCAAUUUGACUUCUGAAGUUUCCUUAUCCUUUUUUGAGAAUUAAUGUUUAGAGGCACAUCCCACCAUUAAAUCCGUGUACUAGUUCAGGGGCUAUAAUUGCAGUUAGACAAGCUUGAUAAAUCCCUAAACAGGUUUUAGAAACCCCAACGGUAAAAGGACUGGUUGGCUGAAAAUCAGUCCAUACUAAAAUUUUAGGCCACGACUGAUGCUUUAGAUCACACUUUGUUUUCCAUUUUUCUUUCUUUCUUUUUUAUCAUAUAAUAAGAGUUAAGAGUGAAGAGCAGGUGUUGGAUGUGCUCGAGCAUAUGUGCCUUGUAAAGGAAAAUUGAGCUAAUGCCUCCCUUUUUCAGAGAAUUCAUUCUGCCAUCUCAUCAGUUUAUUAUCCACUUACAAUUUUGUUGCUUUAUUAUCUAUUAGAACUAAUGCAUUUUACAAAUUACAAUCUAUGAGGUUGCAAUUGAAAAUUAUAGAAGUAUUUCAUUUCCAAAGGUCAUUGCUCAGUGCAAUGAAAAAAAUUCUGGUUAUCAAGCUUGAGUGUGAGUAACAGUAUGAGACAGCUAUUUUAUACAAAAAUAUUGUCAAAGCUCAGUAUAUCUCUUUAUCUUUCUUUCAGCAUUAGAUGAUGGUCCUUUUUUUCUAUUUCUUCUCAACAGCUGCUUGGUAAAUUUAGUUAGUUUAGUUGGUGAAGUCUCUGCCUAGUUGUAUCAAAUAUUUUGGUUAAUUCCUGCAUAAGUGAUUCAUGAAUAAGAAUACUAUAUAAAUUGGGAAAAUUAUAUUUUAUUUACCAAAAUUUAAAAUAAUUACAGCACACUGAUCAGUCUUUCUCAUAAUAUUCUUUCCUUCAUAGUCCCUAUAAAAAUUCCUAUCCCUUUACCAAAAUCAGUUUAAUUAUUACUACAUGUUUGUAUAGAAAUGGAAAACCUCAACAUAUGACUUUAAUGUUUACUCAAUAAUAAACAUUAGUAGUUGUAAUAAUAAUAGUUAUAAUGAUGGUUUACUCUUGUCUGACGGAUGAGAUUCAAUAAAACUGUUUAUGUAUGUAAAAUUAGCCUUUUAAGUCAUCAACCAUUAUGUUUCUGUGCUGUCCAUAAAGUUUUAUAUAUCUUCAACAGAGCAACAAAGGCCUAUAGGGACUUGAGGAGUCAUUCAGAUCAUAAGCAGGUGGUGUCUUUGCCCAAAUACUUAGAAUUUGGUAUAUUAUUCUUUUCCCAUUACAUGAAUUUUUUUUAUUUAAUUAGGUGUUAUUGAUGUUUGGGGUGUUUUGUAAUUAGAAAAAUGUUUGCAUUCUCAUCUACAUAAUAGAUAAAUAUUGAUAGCUGUUAAUCUUGUCGUGACAAAAUUAUCCAUCUAUCUAUACUUAUGACAACAUGAAGAGGAAGGACUUUUAUGCAAGAAAGUAUUGUUAAAAGAGUCAUUUCUUCAUCUUCUUGAAGACAUCACAAAGUUGUGGUAUUUUCAGCUCCUGCAUGUGGUUGUUAUGGGUUGUUUAUGAACUCCAAAGUUCUUUGUGACCCAUGAACAACCCAUUCAAUAACUCAAGCUUUUUUAAUUGAAUUUUAGUUUCCAUCUAUCUGCUUAUGUGUACAGUUAAUUUUUUCCUCAAAUAGAAUUGUUUAAUGUACCUUAGUUGAUCCAUUGUGCUUACAUUCAGAUGCCUAUGCUGAGUUGCCCUACUUUUUCAUUUCAAUUCUAUGUACAGUUACUGCAUUCUCUAGAAAUGUUCGGCUUGUGUGAUAUUUUACUAAACAAGUUCAAAACUUCUUUGCUACUUACAACAUUGACUUAAAAAUAUUCCCAUUGAUGAUUUCAGUUGUGGUGUUUCCUGACAAAUUUAUUGCCCUUUUGCUUUAGUUGUGAAUGUGAAACUGAGGUCCUGUCA